ensembl:lncRNA
GUGCCGUGGAAUCAUCCUCCCUCCCUCGACCCCUGCGACUGCACUUGGCUACUGGGAGGCGGGUUCACUUCACCAAAGGGACCCCUGCCUUCCGGCGCUCCUGCCCUCUGUGGCUUGUCCCUUCCACGGAUGCACGCGAGUUUAGUGGGACGGGGGAUCUUUAUACAGUUUGAGCGGUGGUCUUUCGGGAAAACAGUGCACCAGUGCAAAAAAAUUAGGCGCAAGGCUUCGGAGGGACGCCUGCGAGCCAGCAUCCCUGCGGUCCAGGCUCCAUUGGCUUUUAGCUACUUUCUUCGAUGGUCCCAGUGACAUAUGUACUAGUGUCUCAGAUGGUGACAGAUCUUCAGAGUAUAGUUCUGAUUCAGACGGCAUGAAUAUGAGACCAACAAAAAGACAAGAAACCUUAGUGAUUGAUUCUGAUACGGAAAGUGAAAAUGAAACUCCGGGCGCUGCAGAAGUCUUCACAGGUUGGUUUUGUUUACCUUUUCUCGUGAAGGGUUUUGAACCUACACUCAGGGCUGGGCUUAGAGGAGCAGACGUGCAGAGCGGAGCCGCCGUGAUCCCUCCACUCUCCUGGAACCUGGACCCUGACUUCGCUUCUCUUAGUCUGGGCUUCCGAGCGCUCUGUGCUCAAUCGCUCAGCCGUGUCCAACUCUCUGCGACCCUGUGGACUGUAGCCCGCCAGCCUCCUCUGUCUAUGGGAUUUCCCAGGCAAGAAUACUGGAGUGGGCUGCCGUUUCCUCCUCCAGAGGAUCUUCCCGACCCAGGGAUGGAACCCACGUGUCUUGUGUUUCCUGCCUUGGUAGGCAGGUUCUUUACUGCUGAGCCACUGGGGAAGCCCCUCUGCUCCUAAAAGCAGUGAAUCGUUAGGGAUGGGAAACUUUGGAACCUGUCCUGAGCUCUCGUUCUGUCAAACUCCAUGGGGAGGAGCAGGGCGAGGGACACCCUCACCUGUUGAGCGGAGGCUGUGUUCCCUCCCUGCUCGCACCGCAGGGACCAUCUCUUACCUCCCACGAGACUCCUCCAGCCUGACCCUCCCCUGCCAGACAAGAUCACCUGGGUUGGUGCUUUUCUUACACCUUCUGGGUUGUUACCACAAGUGCUCCAAAGCAUUCUCAUCAUUUUUUAAAUUAAAAUCUUAUUUUUAUUAAGGACCAGGUAAAUGAAACAUAGUCAAACAGCAUGAUAACAUUUUUAAAGAAAGGCAGCGACGCCCUGCCCUGCUGAGUGC